CAUUUAAAAAUUAAUUCUUGAGCAAAUUAUAUAUAAUAAUUUGACUUAUAGUAAGUAAACGUUUGAUUUAGACAUUUUGUAAUAUUUAAUACUGUUACAUAUUCAUUAGUAUUCUUUCUAUCACAAUUGUUUGGUAAUACAUCUCGUUUUGUUUUCAGUCAUUGCAAUUACGAAUAUUAAUAACUAAAUAAAAACAAGUUCAUAAACUCCAUUGUAAAACACUCUGAAAGAAACAGGAGAAACGGAAUAACAAGAUUGCGACAAAUUACAGUAAAUGUCAACAAAAAUCAAUCUCUUGGCUGUUGCAAUUAUCGCGAAGUUUCAUCGACAGAAAAUGCGACAGGUUUCCUCGAUACUCGACAAAAGUUGUGUCGCGCGAGGAAACGCAAUAACGCGUUUAAUAAAAUUUCCACGGUGACACGGUUGCGGAUACUCCAAAUCUAAAAUUCGAAUGUAAAAUGCAGGAGGCUGGAGCGCGAGAGAUCAAAACGUCAGGAACAACAUAAAAGUACGAAAAGAAGUACGCAGUAACGGUACAAACCGACUGCAUAAUUUAUCGUUGUAGCGAGCUACGAACAGUUGCUACGACAGGGGUUAGAUCUGUUUUGGCGCAGCGAUGUUCGGCGGCGUCCUCUGGCGAUAAGCUCGGUUAGUAGAACAGGGGACACGGUGGGGGGAUAGACUGUAGCAACGGAGCGUGCGUCUACGUCAGGAAAAGCUCUGAGCUUAUUGGUCCCGGUCCAUUGUUGCGUAUUGAUUGCUGCGGAGCGGUGGUAUGGUCGUUGGGACACUCGGUCGUCCUCAUCGCCGUCGUCGUCGUCGUCGUCGUCGGUGGUACAGUCGAGUAGGUUAAGAAAGCGGGACACGCGUACAGAUAGAUCGGUUUUCCGUGUCGUUGUGAUCGAAAGCGCGUUUCGUCGCGUACGAUCCAUGGAUCUGGGUUUACUAUAUAAUAUUUACACGUAAAAUACAAGUAUAUAUACAUAUUAUAUACGUAUUUCUUCAUAUAUACAUAUUAUUACACGUACACCAACAAACCAGACACACUUACCCAUAUAUCCGUGACACGGGCAAAUACUUGUAAAUUUUAGUACAAAAUACACACGCGUCGACGUACAGUUGAACAUCGAGCCACACGCACGUACGUAUGUGUAUAUACGUGGACGCACGCGUAUGUAUAUAUCAUCGUAGUGGUGUCAGUGGGUUGUUUUCCUGUUUUCUGUUUCUCCCCCUUUCGAGAUUGGAACUACCUGCAGCAUCAGCGGCGGCGGCGGCGGCAUCAGCUGCCGCCGAGCGUGUCAAGACCGAUUUCCACUGAUCCCCGGUCGCGAUAAACGCGCUGGAUAGUUCUGGAAAAUUGUCUCGCGGAUCCUACGGUCGAGAAGGGAACGAUCGACAGACACAGGAAGAGAGGAAGAGAGAGAGAGAGAGAGAGAGAGAGAGAGAGCGUGAGCUAGAGCGAGAGCGAGAGAGGGAGAGAAAGGGAGGGAGAGAAAGAGAGAGAGAGAGAGAGAGAGAGAGCGAGAGAGAGACGAGAGAACAUGUACGCCAAGAGAAUCUCGACGAGCGAAAGGACCGAGUAGCAAUCGGGGGGGGCUAGUCGAUCGGGAAGAGUAGACAACACUCGAAAGCUUUCAUUGGUCCGAGAAAGCGUCGAGAAGAGGCGCAAGACGAGAAGAGUCGACUCGAAUGUAGAAAAGCCAGCGGGGUGCGAUCGGUCGAGCCAUCUCUCGCGACAGGGGAAGCUAGAACAGGGACGAGCGAAACGAAACGAAACGAAACGAAACGGGGGGAUACAGCGAUUAAACGGACGAGAUCACGAGCGAGAGCGGAGGAGAGCGAGCAGCGAGAGUGAAGAAAGAAGAGGGUGUCGCGAAGUGAAAACGAAGAAUAGAAAGAGGAAGAGGAAAAAAAGAUAGACGUUGGGUCGGUCGGGGGGGCGGGGGGGAGGGGGGCGGGAGAAACGAGUGUGACGAACGAGAUAAGGAGGGAAAGAAAAGGGACUUGGGUUGGCAAGAGGACAAGGAGAAGAUUACGUGUAGGGGAAGCUACCUGGCCGGAGAGCGCGGCAGCGCGGCGGUAGGAGAGGGAGGGAAGCAAGAGAGAGAGAGAGAGAGAGAGAGAGAGAGAGAGAGAGAGAGAGAGAGAGAGAGCGAGUGGCAGUAGAAGCGGCCAAGUAGAAACCAGGGGACGGGUAGCAGCCAGUGACAGUAGAAGCGGCAAUUGAGUCGGACUUUGGCUGGAUUCAGCUAACCGGUGAAAAUAAUCUCCCCGAGAGAAUAAGUGUGUUACGGGGGUGGGCGGGUGGUGGGUGGUGAUCGGUGCGUGCGUGCAUCGUGCGUGCAUCGUGCGUCGUGCGUGCAUCGUGUGUCGUGCGUGCGUGCGGCGUGCGUGCAUAAACAAGAAAAAGAGAAAGAGAAGAAGGAAGAAGAGGAGGAGGAGGAAGAGGAAGAAGGAGGAAGGAGGGAAGAGGGAAGGAAGAAGAACAGGCGAAGGAAGAGGGGAACAGAAACGUGGUGUUGGUAGUAUAAGGCAAGACGAUAUAUAGAAAAAGAAAAAGAAA